GACGAACGCUGGCGGCGUGCUUAACACAUGCAAGUCGAACGGAAAGGCCCUGCUUUUGUGGGGUGCUCGAGUGGCGAACGGGUGAGUAACACGUGAGUAACCUGCCCUUGACUUUGGGAUAACUUCAGGAAACUGGGGCUAAUACCGGAUAGGAGCUCCUGCUGCAUGGUGGGGGUUGGAAAGUUUCGGCGGUUGGGGAUGGACUCGCGGCUUAUCAGCUUGUUGGUGGGGUAGUGGCUUACCAAGGCUUUGACGGGUAGCCGGCCUGAGAGGGUGACCGGCCACAUUGGGACUGAGAUACGGCCCAGACUCCUACGGGAGGCAGCAGUGGGGAAUAUUGCACAAUGGGCGGAAGCCUGAUGCAGCAACGCCGCGUGCGGGAUGACAGCCUUCGGGUUGUAAACCGCUUUCGCCUGUGACGAAGCGUGAGUGACGGUAAUGGGUAAAGAAGCACCGGCUAACUACGUGCCAGCAGCCGCGGUGAUACGUAGGGCGCGAGCGUUGUCCGGAUUUAUUGGGCGUAAAGGGCUCGUAGGUGGUUGAUCGCGUCGGAAGUGUAAUCUUGGGGCUUAACCCUGAGCGUGCUUUCGAUACGGGUUGACUUGAGGAAGGUAGGGGAGAAUGGAAUUCCUGGUGGAGCGGUGGAAUGCGCAGAUAUCAGGAGGAACACCAGUGGCGAAGGCGGUUCUCUGGGCCUUUCCUGACGCUGAGGAGCGAAAGCGUGGGGAGCGAACAGGCUUAGAUACCCUGGUAGUCCACGCUGUAAACGGUGGGUACUAGGUGUGGGGUCCAUUCCACGGGUUCCGUGCCGUAGCUAACGCUUUAAGUACCCCGCCUGGGGAGUACGGCCGCAAGGCUAAAACUCAAAGGAAUUGACGGGGCCCCGCACAAGCGGCGGAGCAUGCGGAUUAAUUCGAUGCAACGCGUAGAACCUUACCUGGGUUUGACAUGGAUCGGGAGUGCUCAGAGAUGGGUGUGCCUCUUUUGGGGUCGGUUCACAGGUGGUGCAUGGCUGUCGUCAGCUCGUGUCGUGAGAUGUUGGGUUAAGUCCCGCAACGAGCGCAACCCUUGUUCACUGUUGCCAGCACGUUAUGGUGGGGACUCAGUGGAGACCGCCGGGGUCAACUCGGAGGAAGGUGGGGAUGACGUCAAGUCAUCAUGCCCCUUAUGUCCAGGGCUUCACGCAUGCUACAAUGGCUGGUACAGAGAGUGGCGAGCCUGUGAGGGUGAGCGAAUCUCGGAAAGCCGGUCUCAGUUCGGAUUGGGGUCUGCAACUCGACCUCAUGAAGUCGGAGUCGCUAGUAAUCGCAGAUCAGCAACGCUGCGGUGAAUACGUUCCCGGG
rnacentral:rRNA from 1 species